AUGCUCCGGGAGCGCCCCGCCCCGCCCCGCCCUCCCCCGCCCCCCUCCCGCGGCGGGCGCUGCCCACCCCACGGAGCGGAGGGGCGUGCAGAGGCUACAAGUGCGGCGGCUGGUGAUUGGGGGACUUUCUCCGGGAGCCGUGCCGGGAGAGCGUGCGGUGCUGGAGCCGUACCGGGUGGCCGAAGCAGAAGAAAGAAAUUUACAUCUCCCUUCAUGAACGGAAAAACAACUUGGAAAACAGUCUUUGGUUUAAUUGUGGAGUAUGACUUGAGUAAGCCGACUGAGGAAAAUAGAGUAGAAAGAAGAACCUGUCAGCAUAUUGUCAGUCUGUCCAUGAGCCACUUGGUAGGUGGAAACAUUUCUGAAAAGAUCUAUUGAUCUAUGGAGAAGGACCAAUGAAACAAGGACUAAUUUUCAGACUGUGAUGGUUAAUAUUGAGUGUCAACUUGACUGGAUUGAAGGAUGCAAAAUAUUGUUCCUGGAUGCCUCUGUGAGGGUAUUGCCAAAGGAGAUUAACAUUUGAGUCAGUGGACUGGGAGAGGUAGACCCACUCUCAAUCUGGGUGGGCACCAUCUAAUCAGAUGCCAAAGCAGCUAUAAGAAAAGCAGGCAGGAGAAGAUGGAAGAGCAGACUUGCUGAGUCUUCCGGCCUUCAUCUUUCUCCCGUGCUAGAUUCUUCCUGCCCUCAAACAUAACACUCCAAGUUCUUCAGCUUUUGGACUUUUGGACUUUUGGACUUAUACCAGUGGUUUGCCCAGGGGCUUUUGGGCCUUUGGCCACAGACUGAAAGCUGCACUGUCAGCUUCCCUACAUUUGAGGUUUUGGGACUCGGACUGAUCACCACUGGCUUCCUUGUACCUCAACUUGCAGACAGUCUAUCGUGAGACUUUACCUUGUGAUUGUGUGAGUGAAUUCUCCUUAAUAAACUUUCUUUCAUAUAUAUGUGUGUGUGUGUAUAUAUAUAUAUAGGAGAUAUAUAUAUCUCUCCUAUUUGUUCUUCCCGCUAGAGAACCCUGGCUAAUGCAAAGACCUAUAGAAGAAGAGUUGAGACUCUAUUGUGAAAGUUUUGGAGGCACCUUUUAUGGUGGCCCACGUAGAAGACCUUACCAUGUUUCCAUAAAUGAGGGCCUCUACAAAUUUUGUAAAAGUCCUUCUAACUUGGAAAAUUACUAUGAAUCUAUUUAAUUCCUUAUAGGAUUUUACCACUGAAGGUUAGAGAAUAUAAUUUUGGCUUGGAAACUUCAAUAAUUUGUCAUCCCAGCCAAAAAAGCAAACUCUUCAUUGCCUCUACAAAGAACAUUCCUAUGAACUCAUAAGAUUCAAAUGAAAUAACCCAAUACUUCAGCUCUCUUUUGAUUAGUUAAAAAGAGACAGAGAGACAAAGAAAGAAAGAAAGAAAGAAAGAAAGAAAGAAAGAAAGAAAGAAAGAAAGAAAGAAAGAAAGAAAGAAAGAAAGAAAAAGAAAGAAAGAGGAAAAGAAAAGAAAACCCCUAAAUUAAUAAUAUAAUAAAGUUAUCCCUCAUUGCUGCUUUCACUGGACACCUCCAAAUAUGAUCUCUUUUAAAAUCCUGCUGGAUGAGGAUAUUAAGGAAUACUAGUAAAUGCAAGUAUUUUCAUUUUAAUUAGAUUAUGCUAAUGCUACUGAAAAUAAUCUGCCAAUAUGCUUGCUGCUUUUUCCAAAGCUCUGAUAUGAACCAAACAGGCUGGUUCUUACACAUUUUUUUUCAUAUUUAGUGAGAAAGCCUCCCCCAAUAAGAAAAAUUCAUCAGAAUGCUUAUGAGCACUUUAGAUUUUAGAUAAGGAUACUCCAUUCCAUUUAUUGUAUGUCAAGUAUAAGAAUUUAGGACAAUAUAUACAGUCAAUCUGUUUAAAAAUUCUUUCUCUAUAGAUUGUUAAGUAGGUGAUAAAUCUUGAGUUGUUAUUAACGUUAAAAGUAACUAAAGAUGGUCAGGUGUGGUGGCUCACGCCUGUAAUCCCAGCACUUAGGGAGGCCAAGGAGGGUGGAUCACUUGAGGUCAGGAGUUUGAGACCAGCCUGGCCAUCAUGGCGAAACCCCAUCUCUACUAAACACACAAAAAAUUAGCCACGCAUGGUAGCAUGUGCCUGUAAUCCCAAGCUACUUGGGAGGCUAAGGCAGGAGAAUCGCUUGAACCAAGAGGUGGAGGUUUCAGUGAGCUGAGAUCACAUCACUGUACUCCAGCCUGGGCAACAGAAUGAGACUCCAUCUAAAAUAAUAAUAAUAAUAAUUCCAAACUGCUAAGACCUUAGUUAGGCUGUGUUGCCUAUGGGGUCCCCAAGCUCAUCACCAUCCCUUAAGCCCAGGAUGAUGGAAGCCUCUGAGAAUCUUGACUAAAAAUUCCAGUAUCACUGACAGUGAGAGCAGAGAGUACUCUAAGUAAGGCAGAUUUGUCAGACCUGAACCUCUUAGGAUUGGCUAAAUUCUGAUCACCAGUUUAAACCUGCAACUCAGUACCAAGGUCUUUAGUGUAGAAAUAGCAAAUGUGCACUUAUGCAAUCUUCAACUCUUACACCUAUUUCCAACUACAAGUUAAUCAAGCACAGAGAAUGUAUUGAAGUUGUGUGCCUGAAAAUGAUAACCACAUUGACUUGAUAGGCUGAAAAUGGAAGGGGAAGAGACUAGAAGGCCCAGAAACAUCAGAGCCUUAAAAAUGUGAUAUAGCAGGUGGAUGAAGACUGAUAAACUCAGCUUCAUUGAGUUCUUAUGGAUUUUCUGCAGCUGGAGAACAUGAGGCAGAGAGUUCAUCUCUGGCGAAAUUGGGACUAAUCUUAUUCCUUAAGAUGCCUAUGGGAGUAAAGAAUGUUUUUAAAGACCAGAUGCAAGCAUUUUUAGCAGCCAGCAAAUUAGAAGUGGAGAUAAGACAGAGUGAGAUGAGCUGGAAGAAGAGCUAUCCUUCCUUGAAUAGCAGUUCAAGCUCAUAUUCCCUCUGUCACCAUUCAGACAUGACCUCCACCAGCAGAGCCUAAUGCACAAGUUAGCAUAAAGAAAUACUGUCUCUUAGAAUGGCAUCCAGCAGGAGGAGGCAGGGCCUUUUGUCUCAAACCAACUUGUGCAUACAGAGGGAUAAGGAAUUAUCCUCAUCUUAAACUCAAAGCACUCUCCAUUUCAGAACAGGAAAAAAAUGUACAUGGCAUCCAGGAAUUUACUUUUUUAUUUAACCUCAUUCUGCUGCUUAUCAGUUAUUACCAGAACUUUAUUCUCACCUUUUUAACCCUUCCCUUCCCUUUAUCCCUCUAGGAAAGACACAUUUUUAAUCGUUGGCAAAUGUUUGAGGUUUUUGUUUGUUUUAGUUUUAGUGUUUGUUUGUUUGUUUGUUUAGUCUUGACUAUAGAACAUGUCCAGCCUAUUGAAACUCUGUCAAAGCUCUAAGGCUUACAGAUGCCACCUGCACUGUUAACUUAGUCUUUCUUCUCCUAUUGCUUGCAGUUGGUAUGCCAUUAUUGUAAAUUACACUGAAUCUGCCAUUGAGACAUCCUCUCCUUUAUCUUGUUUGUGUUGUGGAGAUAAGAGAUAAAUUGAAUGUCCCAAGUGAAAUGCUAUCAAGUUUUCCCUCUAUGUGUAGAAAUGGCAGUUUCUGAAGGCUCACUUAUUCUCAGAACUUCCACCCUCUAGAGUUGAUAUAAAAGGAAAAAAAGGAGGUAGAAAUCCAUAUUUACUAGUAGUUUUCCCUCUGGGAGCCUUUUCACUAACUCUUUUACUUUCUUUUCCUAAAUACUGUUAUGUCAAGCUGUGUG
rnacentral:lncRNA from 1 species